AAUGCAAUUUCUCCAUUCCCAUCUCCCCUCUUCCAUCGAUUCCCCUCUUCAACCGUGCCCUCCUCCCAUUUCCCAUUCUCAUUUCCCCUCUUCCAUUGAUUCCCCUCUUCCACCGAUCAAAGUCCCAAACCCUUUUUUUUUAGCUUUUGCUCAAAUGUGUAAGUCCACAUUCACCUUGUGAUCUCUUUGGAUCAAUAACUUCCACACCCUUUAUCACUACUACACUCAGAAAAGGAAAUCAAACACAUCUUUAACAUGGAGCAAUAUGAGGUGUCUUAGCUUGCUUUGUUGUGGAGUGGGAAUCGGGUAAAGAAGGUUGCACAAUGCAUGUGUCUCCUGAUCAACUUUGGCCUCAUACCAUGGUAUUUUUUAGCUUUUGGAUUUGUGCAUAAGAUUACUACCUUUGAGAAGACAGCAGGAUUUCAAGUCAAUGAAUUAAAUCUCCUUCUUCCUAGAUUGAUUGUCAGGGAUAUAUAAAUAUAUUGAAUGGGGACUGAUGUUAUUGAAGUAGGGGAGACUCCAUUUGACUCCUAUCCUAGUUCCUUUGAGGAAUUAAUUCAAGAACAAGUCGAGUUGAGCACGUAAAAUAUGCAAAAUAAACAAGCUAUCAAACGAUGAGCUCAAUAUUGACGAAAUGUGAAGAAUGCGAUCGAAAGUAACUUGUUUGGAAAAGAAGAUAAAUUGUACAAGGAUAAAAUGUCCAGAGACAACAAAUUAAUAAUUGCUUAUAAGUUAUUGUUAAUUGUAUCAUGAAUGAUUUUUUUGGUUAUUUUGCUUUUGGAUGGUGAAAUGUUGUUCAUGUAUUUUCAUUAGUUGUUAAGAAUGAAUGAAUUGAAUGGAAUGAAAAUUAUUAUUAUUUUUUGUCCAUAAAUUGAACCAUCCAUUACAAACAAAAUUGAAUCAUCCAUCAAAAUACAAACAUCAAUAAAGUGCCCAUCAAAAUACAACCAUUAAUUAAAUUGUCCAUCAUCGAAAUACAUCCAACAAAAUAAAACCAUCCAUCAUAUGUUAACAAAAUAGGACCAUCAAAUUAAACAUGGAUUAACAUCAACUAUCUUCAUGGUUUAUGAUUGUGCUUAAGUGGGUCUUUGGACUUAGCCUUUUUUGUGUUCCUAGUUUCUUGAGUCCUACUAGCAGUUUCCUUGUCCUUCCUUUUAUUGGUGCAUUUGGUAAGGGCAGUCACCAUGGUUUCCCCUCUCAUACUAGGCUACAAUGCAUAAAAUACAUAAUUAAAAAAUAUGUCAUCAAAAUACAAUAAACAGCUUAAAGGUUGGCUACUACAUUUAAAAUUUGCAUCCCUAUCAUCUCAUCGGUGUAUAACCCAAUCCCUUACACAACUUAUUUUCCCUACUACGAAGUCUUGUAAGUAUUUUCUGUGUUGAAGAGGUUGGCAUGGUGGGAGGAGUUAGUUGUGUUGAAGGAGCUGGUAGUGAUGAUGCAGAUGUUUCGGAUGCAACAAUUUAAGAAGGAGCUGGUGGAGCAGGAGCUGUUGAAUGUACUCCAACUAGUAAAGGUGUAAUUUACAAAUUAAACAUGUUAGUAGUUCCCAAAUUAAACAUGUUUUGCAUUAAAAUUCUUAUAAGUUAAUAACAUUUAUAGUAGUUGAUGUUUGA